rnacentral:rRNA from 1 species
UUUUAUGGAGAGUUUGAUCCUGGCUCAGGAUGAACGCUGGCGGCGUGCCUAAUACAUGCAAGUCGAGCGAACGGACGAGAAGCUUGCUUCUCUGAUGUUAGCGGCGGACGGGUGAGUAACACGUGGAUAACCUACCUAUAAGACUGGGAUAACUUCGGGAAACCGGAGCUAAUACCGGAUAAUAUUUUGAACCGCAUGGUUCAAAAGUAAAAGACGGUCUUGCUGUCACUUAUAGAUGGAUCCGCGCUGCAUUAGCUAGUUGGUAAGGUAACGGC